rnacentral:rRNA from 1 species
UUGGAGGGCAAGUCUGGUGCCAGCAGCCGCGGUAAUUCCAGCUCCAAUAGCGUAUAUUAAAGUUGUUGCAGUUAAAAAGCUCGUAGUUGAAUUUCGGGGUUCUACCGUUGGUCGGGCUUUGUCUGUACUGGUGUGUAGAAUUUCUACCUUCUGGGGAACCAUCAUGCUAUUAAUUUAGCGUGGUGGGAAACCAGGACCUUUACCUUGAAAAAAUUAGUGUGUUCAAAGCAGGCUUAUGUCUGAAUACAUUAGCGUGGAAUAAUAGAAUAGGACGGUGGUCCUGUUUUGUUGGUUUCUGAAUCACCGUAAUGAUUAAUAGGGAUAGUUGGGGGCAUUAGUAUUCAAUUGUCAGAGGUGAAAUUCUUGGAUUUAUUGAAGACUAACUUCUGCGAAAGCAUUUGCCAAGGAUGUUUUCAUUAAUCAAGAACGAAAGUUAGGGGAUCGAAGACGAUCAGAUACCGUCGUAGUCUUAACCAUAAACUAUGCCGACUAGGGAUCGGACGAUGUUGAUUUUUCUUGACUCGUUCGGCGCCUUACGGGAAAC